GCCCCGGUAGCUCAGCAGGUAGAGCGACUGGCUGUUAACCAGUAGGUCAGAGGUUCAAGUCCUCUCCGGGGCGCCA
rnacentral:tRNA from 1 species